rnacentral:rRNA from 1 species
GUAGGGGGCAAGCGUUAUCCGGAUUUACUGGGUGUAAAGGGAGCGCAGACGGCAAUGCAAGUCAGAUGUGAAAUCCACGGGCUUAACUCGUGAACUGCAUUUGAAACUGUUUUUCUUGAGUAUCGGAGAGGCAAUCGGAAUUCCUAGAGUAGCGGUGAAAUGCGUAGAUAUUAGGAGGAACACCAGUGGCGAAGGCGGAUUGCUGGACGACAACUGACGGUGAGGCGCGAAAGCGUGGGGAGCAAACAGGAUUAGAUACCCUGGUAGUCCACGCUGUAAACGAUGAAUACUAGGUGUGCGGGGACUGACCCCCUGCGUGCCGCAGUUAACACAAUAAGUAUUCCACCUGGGGAGU